UACGAAGGGGGCUAGCGUUGCUCGGAAUCACUGGGCGUAAAGCGCACGUAGGCGGCUUUUUAAGUCAGGGGUGAAAUCCUGGAGCUCAACUCCAGAACUGCCUUUGAUACUGGGAAGCUUGAGUCCGGGAGAGGUGAGUGGAACUCCGAGUGUAGAGGUGAAAUUCGUAGAUAUUCGGAAGAACACCAGUGGCGAAGGCGGCUCACUGGCCCGGUACUGACGCCGAGGUGCGAAAGCGUGGGGAGCAAACAGG
rnacentral:rRNA from 1 species